GGGAAGUCGCACGAGCUGCAACUCUUCCAAGGUUCUGUUUGCAAGCCAGAGUGGAACUAGGAAGAAGCCGUGAGCAAGCUCCAUCCCUAUCCGCGUCAACAACCAGCUGCAACCCAGCUUCACCCUCCACCAGUCGCAACCAGAAAACCAGAACCAACAAACCUGUGCGUGAGCCGAGAGAAAAUAUCAUAGCUUACUUAUUCGUGAGCUGAGCUAUUCUGAGGUAAUUUUCUGGACUAUUUUGGGUUGAUCAGAGGUAGAUUCUAGUUUUAGAUUAGCCUUCUAGAGGUUGAUGAUGGUGUUUAAGUACUUGCAUGUGGGAUUUGUAUGUUCGGAUGUUGAAAUCUGUCUUGGUAGCAUCUGGUUCUGCCGAGAGUAGAUUAGGAGUUGCAGUUUUAAUUCUUGUUUCCCUGACAUCAUCUGAGCAUGAAUCGGUGAUUAGCUAACAAAAACUGAGUGGAUUAAGCUAGUUAUAGCUUUGCAUGUGAGUUUAGGCGGCCAGAUUUGUAAUUAAGAAAAGAAGAAAAUUUCUGUGCGCUAGUUAUGUUUCUGCCGAGAGCUUGAGCUGGAAAUUUUGGUUUUAAUUUGCUGGGUGUGAUGAUUUGAGCUUAAUCUUGGAUCAACCUGAUAGAUAAGCUCCUUACUUAGUAUUGCAUGUGAACUUUAUGGCUAGGAAUUUCGGUUGCAUGACUGGAAAACUUAUUAGAAAAUUUCUGGACUGCUGAACUAAUUUUUCCAGAUUAGCCGUUGAAGUUGUUUUGGAAAUUGCUUGGGUAUUUUAGCAUGAAUUUUGCUGGAACGUGUUUGAUUUCCACUUAGUUAGGUGUUUGACUAAUUAAAAUUAAAUGAUUAAGCCUUGCAUGAGGUGUUUUGGUCUGGCUAAGCUAGAAACAAAAAAAUAAACAAGAAAAUCUGCUGUAUGCAAGAUUAUCCAAGAAUAGCCGAAUGAAUUCCUGGAUUUUUGGGAUGUUUGUAGUUGUUAAUUGAAUCUGAUUUUGAACGAGAGAUGUUAAUUACCUAGCUAAGUGUUGGCAUGUUGAAUUUGAGUAACUAAUACCCUGUUUUGGCCAAGGAAAAGCUGGAGUUAAGAACAUACAAUUGCUAGAAAUUUUUUUUGUGAACUGCCGUGAAUUCGAACCAGGAAAUUUUGAAGAGUGUAGCUAUUGUUUGGAUUUAACUUCGAACUGGAAGCAAUUUGUAGCUAACUAAGUGUUUAGCUAUGAAACAGUUGAGAUUUUGGAAGUUUGAAUUGAAUUAAUGAAGUGUAGCUGUUGGGAAACUUUCGGUCAAAAUGAUGGAAGUAGUAAAGGAAAUUCUUUCCAGAUUUCUUUUGGCGAAUUUUAGUUCUAAAACUUCUGUUUUGAGCUAUAAACUAUUUCAUGCUUAUUGACCUCACUCUCGAGCAUGUCAAAAGGGCCGUGCAUGUGAAUUUUUGGGUGACCAUUUGAUGUUAAUCAUGGCUACAAGGAUGAGAUGAAUUUAUCGGCAAUUGAAGGAAUAAAUUUUGAAUUAUAACCAUUGUGAAUUACUUAAUCCGCAUUGGUGUAUGUGUUAUGAGAAAUAAUUGUUGAAUGCUAAGGGUUAAUGAUUGAUGAAGCCCUUGGCCAUGUGAAUGAUUUUUAUAUAAUCGUUAAAGUGAUGAAAUUUAAUUGCUGAAAUGUCUUUGAGGCCUUACCUUUAUUUUUAUGUGUAUAUGAUGAGUUUGCUGAAACCAAGUGCUAAUGAUUGAUGAAGCCUUGGUCGUUCAAUUUUAUUUUUAUCAGAAAUGCAAUUGUUGAAAUCUAGGGCUAAUGAUUGACAAAGCCCUAGUGAUUUGCUAUGUGAUUUUGCCAUAUUUGAUCCAUAAUAUGAUUUCGAAACGGAAUCGGAGCUGUGGAAGUCGCUUCUACCUUGCGAACUCGUGUAGCUGUGAGCAAAUUAAUCAAAAAUAUUUUCCAGCUAGUAUUAAAUCAUAAAACUCAAUAUCUAGUAUUUUGCCUAAAACUUUCCAACCGAUAAUUUCCUUUAGCUCAAACUAGCCUUGAUAGUUAUAGGAAAGAAUUUCUCUAGCUUUUGAAAAUCCUAAGUCUUAUUUUAAUUUCCUUUCCUUUCAUUAAGAUUUGCCCUUGGAUAGUUGUCGGUAGGAAAAGUUCCAAAAUAAGAGUUUUAAUAACUUUAAUUAAGAAUGUAGAAACUUGCUCGGCAAGAAACUUUAUUUAGAUUAAAUAGUUUUUAGUGACAAUUUUUACAAGAACCAUAGCUUAAAAGAAAUCUUUCGAAGUAUCUUUCUAGUUUUAUUAUUAAGUGGUUUGUCGAAUUAUCUCAAGAAAAUAAUACUAAUUACCUUUUAUAGGGAAAACUACAAGAAACAUUUUUACUACUUUUGCCAAGUUUCAACCUAAGUAGAUCUUUGAGUUUACUUCGAAAUGAUAAACUAGUUAUAAACUCGAUAAACCUUUAUAGUUAUAAACCUGGAACUUGAAUAGAAAUUGAAAGUGUUAUAUUUGUACUUUAAAGGUCAAACUUGAUUUUAAUAAUUUACGCAGAAAACUUGUUUGGCAAGAAACCUUAUUCAAAGCAAAUUGGUUCUGGUUUGCACCUCUAGAAAGAAAGAAAUCCUAUGAAGUAUUUCAUCACUUUCACUAGUUUAACUCUAGGGAAAUUGUUAAUUUAUUUGGUGUAGAUAAACUAGUUAUAUACCAGAUAACUUUGUAUUUAUAAACCAAGAACCGUACAACAACACUUAUAGUUUUAAAUUCUGGAUUUCUAGGGUAUAGCGAGG
rnacentral:lncRNA from 1 species